rnacentral:rRNA from 1 species
GAUGAACGCUGGCGGCGUGCCUAAUACAUGCCAGUCGAGCGAACAGACGAGGAGCUUGCUCCUCUGACGUUAGCGGCGGACGGGUGAGUAACACGUGGAUAACCUACCUAUAAGACUGGGAUAACUUCGGGAAACCGGAGCUAAUACCGGAUAAUAUAUUGAACCGCAUGGUUCAAUAGUGAAAGACGGUUUUGCUUUCACUUAUAGAUGGAUCCGCGCCGCAUUAGCUAGUUGGUAAGGUAACGGCUUACCAAGGCAAGGAUGCGUAGCCGACCUGAGAGGGUGAUAGGCCACCCUGGAACUGAGACACGGUCCAGACUCCUACGGGAGGCAGCAGUAGGGAAUCUUCCGCAAUGGGCGAAAGCCUGACGGAGCAACGCGGCGUGAGUGAUGAAGGUCUUCGGAUCGUAAAACUCUGUUAUUAGGGAAGAACAAAUGUGUAAGUAACUAUGCACGUAUUGACGGUACCUAAUCAGAAAGCCACGGCUAACUACGUG